rnacentral:rRNA from 1 species
CUCGGACGGGUGAGUAACGCGUGAGAAUCUAACUUCAGGACGGGGACAACAGUUGGAAACGACUGCUAAUACCCGAUAUGCCGCAAGGUGAAAUCUAAUUGGCCUGGAGAAGAGCUUGCGUCUGAUUAGCUAGUUGGUGGGGUAAGAGCCUACCAAGGCGACGAUCAGUAGCUGGUCUGAGAGGAUGAGCAGCCACACUGGGACUGAGACACGGCCCAGACUCCUACGGGAGGCAGCAGUGGGGAAUUUUCCGCAAUGGGCGAAAGCCUGACGGAGCAACGCCGCGUGAGGGAGGAAGGUCUUUGGAUUGUAAACCUCUUUUCUCAAGGAAGAAGUUCUGACGGUACUUGAGGAAUCAGCCUCGGCUAACUCCGUGCCAGCAGCCGCGGUAAUACGGGGGAGGCAAGCGUUAUCCGGAAUUAUUGGGCGUAAAGCGUCCGCAGGUGGUCAGCCAAGUCUGCCGUCAAAUCAGGUUGCUUAACGACCUAAAGGCGGUGGAAACUGGCAGACUAGAGAGCAGUAGGGGUAGCAGGAAUUCCCAGUGUAGCGGUGAAAUGCGUAGAGAUUGGGAAGAACAUCGGUGGCGAAAGCGUGCUACUGGGCUG